AAAAUCUUUCUGCAAUAAAUAAAAUUGAAAGCCAUUCAUCGGCAUCUUCAUUCGACUGAUAUAUUCUCCUAGUGUUCACAUUUCUAACUUGAUCUGUGGGAUUACAAACAAUUUACAUCCAGUAAAAGAGAGGGAGAGAACCAACUUUAAGUGGUAUGCUUUCACGUUUCCUAAGCUGUUAUUUUUCUUUCAUAGAGCUAAACAAAAAAUACAGUGAAUACUUGCUACAUCAAAUAUCUGUCUGUUGAAAGUUUCUAAUGACAGGAGUAUAGGCACACAAAUGAAACUUCUGUAUUUUACCAAGGAAAGAAAUAACUUCUUGCUGUCAGAAUAAUUAGUCCAAUGCAUUUAAGAAGUGUACUCUUCAUUUUCAAGAAUUUGGUUGUGCACUCCAGAUUCUCCUCUGCUCGUCAAAGCUUCCUAUGACAGCGGAUUGCUUGUUAACUCCCAAUUGAUUUGCAAAAUUAUCAUAAUAUGCUACAGGGUCUACAGUUUGCAACAUUUUCACCAAUUUUCCUUGUCUUUCAUCAACCACAAUUUGUCCAU
rnacentral:misc_RNA from 1 species